rnacentral:lncRNA from 1 species
GCCUGUUCUGCCGGUCGGUCGCAGGACUGCCUACCUUGCAGGUGCGGGCGGCGGCUCUGCUCUGCCCCUACUCCAAUUGGGGUGACGUGACUGCCACGCUGGCGGGUCGCUGGGCCUGUUCCGGGCGCGGGUGGCGGCUCUUCUCUGCCCCUUUGGGUUGAUGACAAAGUGAGAGAGACUCGGGUGUUUGUGACUCACUUUCUUUACCAGGAGACCAACUGUUUCUGUCACCGCUGGUAUCAAUGAAGUUAUCUCCUCCGCCGCUUUCUGAUGACAUCAGAUCUCUGCCAUGUUGUUAUCCCAUGCGAAUGGCAGCAUUUCGUUCCCUUUGCUGGGUGACCAAAGCAACGGGUGAGCCCUGACCGGCCCUCACAAGCCCCGUCUCAAUCCUGUUGCCACUGCCUAUGAAGGCUCGGUUGGUAUUUACCUCCACAGUAUUCAGCAGGACCCGGACCGAGAAGCAGUUUCUGCAGGUUCUUUAGCACUGGGCCAGAGCAGUUCUGGGAGCUGGAAUUCGGCUGCUCCGGGCUCGGUGUAUGUUCUGAUAGGCGCAGGCUCCAAGAAGCAGUUUCCGCGGGUUCUUUAGCACUGAGCCUGAGUAAUUUGUCUGUGAGACGCAGGUGAAUGGCAGCCUGAAAUUACCUGUUCUAUGGCUGAAUGAGCUGCGAUCAGUCGAAAACAGGGAUGGUGACGUCAGCUCUCCAAUAUGGUGGCCGCUGGCUUCCUCUGUGGUCUGACCGGUGUGGAGAACCGAAUUGGACCACUUCCUUCCCCCGUCUCAAACCCAGAAUUCAGCACUGAGCACAAUGAUUGCACAGCUGGCAGGAUCCCGCAGAAUCUGCAGCGCUGUAUCUUUGCGUUGCUAUCUCGUCGUUUCCCAGCGCAUGCCACAGACUCUAGCCGCGUGGUGAUUUGCUGAAUAAGCAGUGUGACCCUCAGUGCAGACAAAUCGUUCACGUUUGAGCGCCCGUAGGUGAUCCUCGUGCGAUGGAAAUCCUUCCUCUAGGUUUUGGAGCACCCAAAUUUUGCUGGAAAUUCCUAACAAGAUAGCUUUUAGCAGUUCUAACUCGUCAUUCUCCCGCACAGUGACGCGGUACACAGGGGUAAUUCACUCCCUUCGUCGCCAUCUUCUCAAGCUCUCCCUUUUUUUUUUUCUCUCCAGCUUCCACAUAGGAGAGAAAACAUAAUGCUUGAUUCUCCGAGACUGGCUUAUUUUGCUUAACAUGAUGUUCUCUAGUACAAUUUUUUUCUCUAGUACCAUCAUUGUGAAUUAUACAAUUUCAUUCUUCUUUAUGAUUCACUAAAACCACAUUGUGUAUAUAUGCCACAAUUUCUUUAUUCAUCUGUUGAUGGACGAUUAAGUUGGUUGCCUAACUUGGCUAUUGUGAAUUGCACAAUAAACAUGGGUAUACAUUGUAUCAUAUCACUAUAGUAUGCUGACUUUAGUUCUUUUGGAUAAAUACUGAGAAGUUGUAUAGCUUGGUCGUAAGUUGUUUCUAUUCCUAGUCUUUUGAGAAGCCUCCAUACUGAUUUUCAUAGAGGUUGUGCUAAUUUACAGUGCCAUCAACAGUACAAGUUUUCUUCUUUCCCUUGCUAGAAUUUAUUAUUAUUUGUAUUAAUGAUUGCCAUUCUACCUGGAAUGCACUGAAAGCCUUCCCCGCCCCCCAUUAUUAACACUAACUUUAGUAGGGUAUGUUUUUCACUUGUAAUAAUCAAGGUUGACACAUUAUUACCAAGGUCCAUGUUUUAUUCAGAUUUUCUCAAUUUUUACCUAGUGUCCUUUAUUUUUGUUUCAGGAUCUCAUUUGGUUAUCUCAUUGGAUUUAGAUGCUGUGUCUCCAUAACCUCCUUUAGGUCAUGACAGUUUUUCAGAUUCUUAUUUUUUAUCUCUGUGACAGCUUUGAGAAUUAAUUGGUGGUCAUUUUGGGGGCUGCUUUUCAGUGAAAUUUGUCUGAUGUUCUCAUAAUUGGAUUGGGUUGUAUGUCUUGGAGGAAUAUCACAUAGGUAAAGUGCUAUUCUCAUAUAUUAUAACAUGUCAUAUAAUAUCAUAUCAUAUCAUAUCAUAUCAUAUCAUAUCAUAUCAUAUCAUAUCAUAUCAUUUGUCAUUCCAUGGAUUUGUAUUAUGAACAUGACAUUACUCUUAAGUAAACUUGAUAAUUUGAUGAAGUAGUGUUUGUCAGUUUUUUUUUCAUUUGUAAAAAUUACUCUUUUUCUCCUUUAUGUACUCUAAAGAAGUUACCAUGUUCUUUAGAGGAUUUGAGCUCCAUUUACUCUAGGGUGGCCUGUAUGUACAUACAUCAUUUGGAAUUCUUCUGCCUGGGAAAUUUAGACAAAUUCUCACUUAUUUAUUUAUUAAAUAAUUUGUAUCAGUAUGGACUCAUGGAUAUUCAUUUUUUGUUUCAAAUUCCUGACUUACAUUUAUAUAAUUAAAAAGGUGCC